AGUAGCGGUGAAAUGCGUAGAUAUCUGGAGGAAUACCAAAGGCGAAGGCAGUCCCCUGGUCCGAUACUGACACUGAGGUACGAAAGCGUGGGGAGCAAACAGGAUUAGAUACCCUGGUAGUCCACGCCCUAAACGAUGUCGAUUAGCCAUUGGAAGGACCCCUUUUCCUUUCAGUGACGUAGCUAACGCGUUAAAUCGACCGCCUGGGAAGUACGACCGCAAGGUUAAAACUCAAAGGAAUUGACGGGGACCUGAACAAGCGGUGAAUGAUGUGGAUUAAUUCGAUGCUACGCGAAGAACCUUUACCUACCUUUGACAUGGCCAAAGUUCUACCGAGAGGCGGAAGUACUCGUAAGAGGAUUGGCGCACAGGUGCUGCAUGGUUGUCGUCAGUUCGUGUCGUGAGAUGUUGGGUUCAGUCCCGCAACGAACGCAACCCUUAUCUUUAAUUGCUCCUAUUUUAACAGGCACUUUAAAGAAACUGCCAAUGAUAAGUUGGAGGAAGGUGGGGAUCACGUCAAGUCCGCAUGGCCUUUAUAGGUAGGGCUUCACACGUCAUACAAUGGUUAGAACAAAGAGCUGCAAAUUCGUAAGAAGGAGCCAAUCUCACAAACCUAACCUCAGUUCGAAUUGCGGUCUGCAACUCGAGCGCAUGAAGCCGGAAUCGCUAGUAAUCGUGGAUCAGAAUGCCA
rnacentral:rRNA from 1 species